rnacentral:rRNA from 1 species
UACAGAGGUCCCAAGCGUUACUGAGAAUCACUGGGUUUAAAGGGUGCGUAGGUGGCGCGUUAAGUCAGUUGUGAAAUCCCCGGGCUCAGCCCGGGAACUGCUUCUGAUACUGGCGUGCUUGAGGCCAGUAGGGGUCACUAGAACUGACGGUGGAGCGGUGAAAUGCGUAGAUAUCGUCAGGAAUGCCGGUGGUGAAGACGGGUGACUGGGCUGGUUCUGACACUGAGGCACGAAAGCGUGGGGAGCGAACGGG